GACGAACGCUGGCGGCGUGGAUUAGGCAUGCAAGUCGAACGGUAGGAUACCUUCGGGUAUCUGAGAGUGGCGAACGGGUGAGUAACACGUAGGUGAUCUACCCUCAAGAUUGGGACAACCCAGGGAAACUUGGGCUAAUACCGGAUGAAAGCAGCAGUGAUGUUGUUUGAAAGGUGGCGUAAGCUGCCGUUUGGGGAUGAGCCUGCGCUCUAUUAGUUAGUUGGCGGGGUAAAGGCCCACCAAGGCGAUGAUAGAUAGGCGGCCUUAACGGGUGGUCGCCCACACUGGGAUUGAGAUACGGCCCAGACUCCUACGGGAGGCAGCAGUCGAGAAUAGUCUACAAUGGCCGAAAGGCUGAUAGUGCGACGCCGCGUGAACGAAGAAGCCCUUCGGGGUGUAAAGUUCUUUUAUAUGUGAGCAGUGCUUUCUAUGUGAACAGCAUGGGGAAGAGAUAUUAGCAUAUGAAUAAGCAACGGCUAACUCCGUGCCAGCA
rnacentral:rRNA from 1 species